UGAGCAGCCUAGAAGCAAGAGUUUAGAGUCACACUUUUUUCCAUGCAGGAUGUGGUCAAAUUUGGAAAUUUUUAAAUGAGAAAAAAAAAAGAUUUUCACAACAUCGCUGUGGACUCCGUAAAUAAUGAUGGUGUCAGGUGUCAUUUGUUGAGCACCUAUUGUGUACCUGGUGUUCCACUAUGAACUGUCAACAAGCCACAACAUGCAGUGCCAGUUCAACAAGGAUAUAUAAAACUAUACCUGACCACAGAAAAUACCACUCACCCUUAAAUGGACACUGCUAUAAGGAAUUGGAGGCUUGAGACAAGCAAGAAGGGGAGGACCAAUGCCCCUCGCCAUCCCAGCUCAGCAGGAAGUAGCCAGAGAGACCUCAACGACCCUGCUCCCAAAGAAUUGGGCCUCCCAUCUCUUAAGGGGUGAAUGUUAGGUAGUUAGAAUAGGAAAAAGGAGUCCAAAAUGGCAGUAGCUAAAAGACAAAGAAAGGGAAAGCCCGUGAAAACAGAACAAAAGAAAACCCACAGACCAGAGUGAGAACUUCAGGUAAAAGAAACACACCCCCUUCUUGGCUAUCCCCAAUUUGCACAGGGCAGGCUCAGCGGGGAGGAGACAAAUGAACAAAAGGAGGAAGCCAAGAUGGAUUGAGGCCCCUCCUUUGGGGUUGCCUGCCCUCACGCCUCCAGGGUGUACUUACCUUUGCUUGCCAAAUAAAAC